AUGGAUAGGCUAGAUGGCUCUGCCCGCCUUAUGAUCGUUUCGGAUCUUGACCAGACGAUGGUUGAUCACUGUGAUCCAGAGAACUCGGCCUUGCUCCGUUUCGAGGCGCUCUGGGAGUCUGAGUACUCCCAGGAUUCUCUGCUGGUGUUCUCAACUGGAAGAACGCCGGUCAGUUACAAGGGUCUGAGGGAAAGAAAGCCUUUGCUCACACCGGACAUCACCAUCAUGUCUGUGGGCACUGUGAUAGCAUAUGGCCAGGAGAUGACUCCUGAUGUUGGCUGGGAGGAAUUUCUGAAUAACAAGUGGGAUAGGGAUAUUGUUGUUCAGGAGACAGCUAAGUUCCCUCAUCUAAAGCCACAGCCAGAGAGGAAUCAGGGUCCUCAUAAGGUCAGCUUCUUCGUCGACAAGCAGGGUGCUCAUGAAGUGAUUAAUUAUCUUCCUCAAAAACUGGAACAGCUUGGGCUAGAUGUGAAGAUAAUCUAUAGUAGCGGAGAGGCCCUAGAUGUAUUGCCACGAGGUGCAGGGAAAGGGCAAGCUCUUAUAUAUUUACUCGAGAAGUUCAGUUUGAGCGGAAAACCACCAAGCAAUGUUCUUGUGUGUGGUGACUCUGGCAAUGAUGCAGAUUUAUUCAGCGUUCCAUCUGCCUAUGGUGUCAUGGUUAGCAAUGCCCAAGAGGAGCUUCUUCAGUGGUAUGAAGAGAAUGGAAAAGAUAACCUUAAGUUGCUUCAUGCAACUGAGAGAUGCGCUUCCAGUAUCAUGCAAGCUAUCGGUCACUUCAAACUAGGGCCUAGUUUUUCUGUAAGAGAUCUUGAAUUCCCAUAUCCGAAGGUAGACACCAUCAAGCCUGCAGAUGUGGUGGUGAAAUUCUAUGUUCUUUACGAGAAGUGGCGGAGGGGUGAGGUUCAGAAGUCUCCAUCAGUUAUACAAUACUUGAAAAGCAUUACUCUCCAGAAUGGUACACUGAUACAUCCUUGUGGAAUGGAGCGGUCACUUCAUGCAUCCAUUGAUGCACUGAGUUCAUGUUAUGCUGACAAACAAGGCCAAAAGUUCCGAGCAUGGGUGGACCGACUUUUUACAUCGCCGAUCGGUACAAGUAACUGGUUGGUGAGGUUUGACAACUGGGAAAUGGAAGGCGAUGUGCAAUAUUGCUGCCGGACAACUCUUCUGCUGAAUACAAAGCCUGAGACUUCAGAGGGCUUGGAACUGACACACAUCCACAAGACCUGGCUUGAAGGAUACUCAGCUGGGAAUGAUCAUACCUUCAUCUUAUAG
rnacentral:rRNA from 1 species